CUGGUAUCUCUGCCUUCCUAUCAGGGUGAUUCCAUUUGGUGAGCAGAGUGCUUCCAGCAAGAUGUGUUAAAUCACAAUACAGAGCUACUAUUAUAACUACAAUUGAUAAUCUGCUGUGCCUGCAAGAACUUUGCCAAGCUGAGAGGUGAGCACAAAGCAGAACUCUUCACACCAAGACCUGAACUGUCCCCAGAGGACCACACAGAGCCUUGGCUCCUGGAGAACCACAGCAGCUCCAAGUCCUACUGACGACGGAGCAUCUAAUUCUGGUAGAUGGACAUCUCAGUGGCACCAGAUGACUGUGCACUAUUGCCUCGAGGUCAUUUAUAUGUGCAAACCAUGGCCCAGACUGACUUUCCUUUCCCCUGGGGAGGGAAGGGUUCCCUCUCCUCUCUGAAGAGCCAGCAGGACUAGUUAUGAAAAACAGUGCUCAGUAACAUAGCUCAAACUUGGCUGGUGGGUGCUGGGCUUUCAAAUUCCAGCCCCCAGUGGAUUACUUCCCUAAGCACAGCAGGGAAAGCCAUGGAUGGAUUAUUUCUUGGCAAACACUGACUUUAGCUAGAGAAACCAAAGGGGAAAAUAUUUAAGAAAUUAUUUUCUUUUCCCUCUGUGCCUGACCGCUUUCUUGCCUUCCUGAGAUUCAAUUUCUAUAGCUGAGCUCCAAUUUUCAGCUCCGUGCCUCCUCUCUGAACUAAAGAUUGAAUUUAGUGUGAUAAAAUCGCAGAAGAAAGAUUGACCUACCUAAUUCAGAUCUUGGUCUAUGUUCAUGCUUCAUCCUGCUCGUGUGGUUGGAGGUAGCUUUGUAGCUGAAAUGCCUGGACAAUUUUGAUUGUCAGAGUGCAGUUCAAGAGGCUUCUUGCUCCUCACCAGUCUUUUUCCCACUUCCUAAACCUCACUGCAGUUAGGAUAUUUAUUGUGUAUAUUCUUCCAUUGGGCAACUGCUCCUAACUAAAAAGCCUUUUUUCUCAACAUCAUACCUUCCCAAACAAGGAAGGCUUGAGGUUGCUGCAGGUCCAGAGAGAUGGCUCUAGGCAGAGAUGGAAACACUAACAGGGUCCUCCAUUUUAUCCCUAUUCCCUUGCUUCACCUGCUUUUAGUUUCUUGAAUGCCAGACUGAAUGAUGCACCCACCUUGUUCAUGUUCCAUCCCUCUCCAAACUGACGGGGGAAGCAGCAAAUGAAGCUAUGGCCCACUCUCUGCUUUUAUGUAACGAAGAGUUUUCAGUGACUGAUGCCAUGGCUGGCUAGGAUCAGCUUCACCUAUCAAGGCAUCCUUUGAAAAAGGGACUUCAUAAAUCAUUCAGCCAUCACCAUCCUGAUAGCGUUCCCACAUCCUGACCACAGGGCAGCAGCACAGCAGCUCAGGCUGCACAGAACGUCUUUAUUCAGGGGGUUGUUUUCAUUUCUUUGGGCUGCCAAUAUCCUGUAACAUUUCAGCAGCCAAAGAACUAUUUGUUCUUGGGCACUACUUUCUGAACAGGGAAUCAGUCAAGUACAUUUGCAUGGUUAAAUUUCAGUGACUUUUUGUUUGUUUGUUUAAGCUCUGAUCCCCUCCAGGUUUUGAAAAUUCACUUUUUCCCUGCAUUUAGUAGAGCCUGAUUUCUUCCAUCCCCCAAAAAUCCUAAUGAAGUUUAAAAUAAACCUCCCCUUUCAAUCCAAAGCAAACAAACAGUUUGUGUCCUUCUGUCCCAGCUGCCUACCAUGUUUUUGGAAGCAGGCUUCUUGGUUAACUUACACUCUUGGACUGGCUGCCUUGCCUCCUCCGGCACAUAGUGAGUGGAGUGCAGGCACCGUGCUUGUCAGGGCUGGCAUGAGCAGGCUUCCUAGCAGGACUUCAUGGUGAUGGAUUAAGAAAAAAAAAAAAAAAAAAAAAAAAAAAAAAAAACGUUUAAAUAUGAGUAGCUGAAUUUAUGAAACCUCUUUCCUGCCAUUUUGUGUCUGGUGUUUGGAUUAUCCUGGGUUUAAUAGUGUGGGAUGCAGCUUUUCCCAUGGAACACUAAUAAUAGCUCUGACUUUCUUUGCUUCUCUGGUGUCUAAUAAGGAAAAGGGUUUUAACCCUAGUAUCAACCUAAACAUAAAUGCAGACUCUUUUCUACUUGCUGGACUAUUUCCUUCUGGGAACUUAACAUUUUUCAGAGUAUUCACAUAUCUGGUUCAAAUCAGUCAUUGGACUUCUUAACGAUUUUUAGAGAGCCAUAGGCAAAGAGAAAACAGUUGCAUAUGUAGAGUUGAUCACAUAAACCUCAUUUUCUCAGGUAAACUGGCCAAAAAUCAUAAUCUUCUGGUUGGCCACAGAUUCACCCUGGAGUGCAAGAGUUCCUUUAGUCGAGGCUUUGUCACCCCCAUUGCAUUUGGUGACAUCUUCUCCUCCCUUGCCAGUAAACUACAACAGACUCCCGGUCUCUUUCUGCCUGCUUCCACAGAGCUGUGGUGGGAAAGGGCUGUGGCUGAACGGCCGUGAUUCUGCCGCUCUGCAUCCAGAGCUUUCAACCCAUUGUCUUUUUUAAAAAAGAAAAGAGAAGAGGGAGAAUCCCUGGCUCCCCUUUCCUUUGGUCUGUGUUUCCAAUUCAUUCUCGAAACAGCAGCAAAUCUCACCCUCCUCACCCCCAGGCCCCAGAGGAGCAGAACACUGUUAAUUAAUUCUAAUGAACAUCAGACGGCCAGCUCCUCUAUUUCUACAUUGGGACAGGGGUUACUUUUAUCUCCAUCAUUUUCCUUCCUUGAUCAGAUUUCCCCCCAGCUAAAUUAAAUCUGUCCUCUGUUUCAAUUGAUUUUUCCUUUCUUGCUCUCUUUUUAACUGAAAUAAGUUUACAUAAAUGUAAAAGCAACAAGACAAGGUCUCAGAACAGACACAUUGGCUGUCUAAUGUGACCCAGGAUGCUGUAAAUCAAUUGUAGUGCAGUUUAAUUUAUAUUUUCGUAACUCAUUCAGUUCUUCCUCUCUUCUUCUCCCCUAACCCUGAAAACUAAGUUUUAUUUAAAUGUCACCGGAUCCUGGGAGACUUGGGUGGAGCUGCCUGGCCCAUUGGACCAUUCAUUUGAUGCAAGAGGUGGAAAGUCUCAGAUUUAUGUCACAGGAGCAAUAUUUCUUACAUUAGCUAUUUAUGGAUUUACACAUCUUUGCAUUUUCUCAACAGUAAAUAAAAUAAAUAGCAGGCACCGAAGGUCUGGCAGCGUGACAGGAACCUUUGUAGGAUGCAGAACAAGGACAAAAUUAAAAGCAGAGAGUAAAUAAAUCUUUGGGCAGGACUUCUGCCACGUGGGUGAUUGCUGCACUCUGUGCAUUGCAGUCAUUGUAUCUGUGUGGGGUCAGGGGAAACAGGAGAGAGGUGGUUCUUGCCAUGCUGCUGUAACAUGAGGCCAGCCUCACGGGGAAUCUGGUAUGGGAGAAACCUGGAGAUAAACUGGGAAAUAGAGGGAGAGCUGGUAACACCUUUGGUUAUGAAAGCUAUUUCUUAUGUUCAUCUCAUGAACUUGGAAAGUCUUAGGCUUGUGUAGGUAAAUGUGAUGGCUACCAACAGCAAGCUGGCUUAAUUAUUUGAGAAAAGCAUUGGGGUUAUAGAUGAUGAAAGGAUUUGUACCUAUUUGGAUGAAAACAUAAUUCAAGAUUUUUUUGAUUGUGAGCAAACCUCAGAAGUAUUUACACUGUCUGUUGUAUAUAACUCAGGCCAAGGAAAAUCCCAUUGACUUAUGAGACUCCUUAAAGAAGUGCACAGCAAAACUACUCAGCUCUAAGCUUGCAGGAUUUGGCCCCAUUUGUGUACAGCAUCAAGGGCGCA